CCAAAACAUGUCUUUUUGAGGAUUUAAAUUUAAAGUUUGACCUGCUCUAUGAAUUGUUUAAUGGCCGCAGUAUAUUGACUGUGCAAAGGUAGCAUAAUCAUUAGUUUUUUAAUUGAGAACUGGAAUGAAUGGUUGGACGAAAUAAUAACUGUCUUAUAAUAAUUUAUAGUAGAAUUUUAUUUUUUAGUAAAAAAGCUAAAAUAAAAUUAAAAGACGAGAAGACCCUAUAAAUCUUUAUUAUUAAUUUAUUAAAAAUUUUAUAGAUAUUUUUUUUUAGUAGUAAAUUAAUAAUUUUAUUGGGGUGAUAUUGAAAUUUAAUAAACUUUUAAUUAAUAAUAACAUAAAUUAAUGAAUUAUUGAUCCAUUAUUAAUGAUUAUAAGAAUAAGUUACUUUAGGGAUAACAGCGUAAUUUUUUUGGAGAGUUCUUAUCGAUAAAAAAGAUUGCGACCUCGAUGUUGGAUUAAGAAAUAAAUUUAAAUGCAAAAGUUUAAAAAUUAAGUCUGUUCGACUUUUAAAAUCUUACAUGAUC
rnacentral:rRNA from 1 species